GUGGGAAAUAUUUGCGGCGGUGGCUAGAAAUUGAUGGAAACGGUUGGAAGAAACACACAAACUGGACUCUAACAAGACCUAACCAGUAACAAGACCUCGAUCAGGACACAAACUCAACACUACGGACUCUGAAACUGAAAUAUGCAAAGGCUAUGGCGCGGAUAGGUUGUAGGACAUGAAAACAAUAUGGCACUAGACUUAUUGGAAGAACACAAGGACACUCGAAACUAAAGGUAGAUGUGAACCUAACGGUAUGUCUGAAGCUUUGAUUACCACUUGAGGAGAACAAGUGUGGCCCUAUCUUCCGAAAGGUUCUGGUAACUUUCGAUUUGGUGGAAACUGAGACACAAAUCAAUCCAGCUUGCGAACAACAGGAUUCGAAACCCUACAUUUCUUUUUAUUUUUUUUGAUAUUUUUCUUUUACUUAGGAGCACCUAGGAAGUAACCAUAGGAAAUUUGAGCUUAAACAAGUGAAAGACGUGGCUUGUGGAAAUUUUUGAAGAUUGUGAA
rnacentral:lncRNA from 1 species